GUAGGUAAAUACAGCACGUGCAUGUGUGUAGGUAAAUACAGCACGUGCAUGUGUGUAGGUAAAUACAGCUUGUGUAUGUGUGUAGGUAAAUACAGCAUGUGCAUGUGUGUAGGUAAAUACAGCAUGUGCAUGUGUGUAGGUAAAUACAGCAUGUGCAUGUGUGUAGGUGUAUACAGCAUGUGCAUGUGUGUAGGUAAGUACAGCAUGUGCAUGUGUGUAGGUAAGUACAGCAUGUGCAUGUGUGUAGGUAAAUACAGCAUGUGCAUGUGUGUAGGUGUAUACAGCAUGUGCAUGUGUAGGUGUAUACAGUAUGUGCAUGUGUGUAGGUAAGUACAGCAUGCGCAUGUGUGUAGGUGCAUACAGCAUGUGCGUAGGUGUAUACUGCAUGUGCAUGUGUGUAGGUAAAUACAGCAUGUACAUGUGUAGGUAAAUUCAGCAUGUGCAUGUGUGUAGGUAAAUUCAGCAUGUGCAUGUGUGUAGGUAAAUACAGCAUGUGCAUGUGUGUAGGUAAAUAUAGCAUGUGCAUGUGUGUAGGUAAAUACAGCAUGUGCAUGUGUGUAGGUAAAUACAGCAUGUGAACAUAUGUAGAUGUAUACAGUAUGUGCAUGUGUGUAGGUAAGUACAGCAUGUGUAUGUGUGUAGGUAAGUACAGCAUGUGUAUGUGUGUAGGUAAAUACAGCAUGUGUAUGUGUGUAGGUAUAUACAGCAUGGUAUGUGUGUAGGUGUAUACAGCAUGUGCAUGUGUGUAGGUAAAUACAGCAUGUGUAUGUGUAUAGGUAUAUACAGCAUGGUAUGUGUGUAGGUGUAUACAGCAUGUGCAUGUGUGUAGGUAAAUACAGCAUGUGUAUGUGUAUAGGUAUAUACAGCAUGGUGUGUGUGUAGGUGUAUACAGCAUGUGCAUGUGUGUAGGUAAAUACAGCAUGUGCAUGUGUGUAGGUAAAUACAGCAUGUGUAUGUGUGUAGGUAAAUACAGCAUGUGUAUGUGUGUAGUUAAAUACAGCAUGUGUAUGUGUGUAGGUGUAUACAGCAUGUGCAUGUGUGUAGGUAAAUACAGCAUGUGCAUG